GCCCGGUUCUGUCAACACUGCACUGGCUCCCUAUUAAACAUCGUAUACAUUUUAAAAUCUUGCUAAUUACCUACACUCAAAAAAAGGAAUUUUGCUGGCUGUUGCAUUUACUUAAGUGCAACGUGUGUUUUGUACUACCUAAUUUAAUGUUAAAUUAAAUAAACAUGAAUAAAUCUCAUAAGAUUUGCUUGAAAUUCAACUGCUUAGCUUUCACUUGAUUCGAUUUUGUCAAAAUAACAAGAAACAAUCAAGUACCCACGCGCUUCCUGGAAAAUGAUUACCUUUAUCGCGAUAACACGUCCCGAGAUGAAGAUUUGAAAUAACGUAAAGAAAACACCUGAGGGAAGCCGUUGAUGAGCGCGCACAUGGAAAGGUCCAUCUUGCUAUUUGCACAGUAAACACAUUCAAAGGCGUUAUAGUGGGAUAGGUGGUAUGUGGAGUUGUAAGGGUUGCACAGAAACUGUAUCAAGUAGGUCCAAGCUUUUGCAUCACUACAAGUUAAAGCAUCCACAUUUUGGACGUAGUUCUCGCUUUCCAUGUACGUACCAUCACUGUCCAUGCACAUUUAAGACAUGGAAUGCACUUAUAGUCCAUCAAAGUAAAAUUCACUCAGCAGAGGACACCUCUAAACAGACAGCAAUAUUCAGCUGCCACCUUUGCGCUUGUGGUGAUUUAGCAUCAGAGAGGGAUUAUUUUGCUCAUAUAAAUGCACAUCUCAAAAGACAUGAGACUGUCAUCUGUAUGUUUUUAGGCUGUGACUUUAAAACAAACAUUUAUUGCACAUUUAAAUCACACAAAAAUCGAAAACACUGCCAUCACACAUUGAUUGAUUUUAAACCUAGAGUUGUUAUAAGUAGAACAUGAUCUGUGAAUGAAUUGGUGGCCACUAGUCAGGACUUUGUAGAGCAGUCAGAUAUUGCCAUUCCAUCAAAUAGUCACUGUCAAACAGAGGACUUGCAUAAAAUCAUAGAGCAAAGAUUUGCAGCUGCCUUGCUAAAGUUGGAGCAUUUGGUCCAUGUACCAAGUACGGCUAUUGAUGUAUUUUUAGAGGAACGUCAUCAUCUGAUUUGUUCUGCACCCGUUCCAUUAUCUUGUGACACUGUGAGUGACAUCUUUCAACAGAAAAACCUCCAUGUCGAUGAACUUACAAUAAGAGAUACGGUUAAUGCAGUUUGUUCUGGUAAUCCUGUGCAAAGGUCUAUACAAAAAGGAGGUCCUCUGAGUACAGUAUAUCUGCGUAAGCAGUACUACAAGAACAACUUUGGUGUUAUAGAGCCAGCUGAGUACAUUCUUGGGUUCUAAAAACAAAAGCAGUUUCCAAUAUGUCCCAAUAUUGAAGUCCCUACAGCAGCUGUUAAGUAGAAGGGAAAUUAUUGAUAAAGUUACUGAGGGACAUCAAAGACAGGAAGGCAAAUGUUCUGUAGUGUCAUAUCAGUACAGGUCCUCAACAGACGGUUGCCUCUUUAAGGAAAAUGGUUUCUUUACUGGAGAAAGGCCAAGGAUUAUCUUAAGUUUUUAUGUGGAUGAUUUUGAAAUCUGUAACCUCCUCGGCACCUCGCGUAAGAAACACAAGCUUUGUGCUGUUUAUUGGGUAUUAGCUAACUUGCCUCCAGGGUCUCAUUCCUCGUUGUCAUCUAGUAACUUGUCAGUUUUGUGUAAAAGCGAUGACAUUAAAACCUAUGGAUAUGAUAAAAUCUUUGAACCUCUUCUAGAAGACCUGAAAACUCUGGAGGGGCAGGGUGUUUAUAUCCCGCUGUUAGGUGAGUCAAUUAAAGGCACAGUACUCAGUGUAGUGGCUGAUAACCUAGGAUCACACAGUGUUGCAGGAUUUAUGCAGAGUUUUUCUGUGGAAUACUUCUGCAGAUUUUGUACAGGAAAAAGAAGUGAUAUUCAGGUACAUUCUGUUGCUUUCACUUUGAGAACUAAAGAGCAUCAUCAGGCCCAUGUCAAACAAGUGCAAGAUUUAGGAACAAAUUGUUUUGGAGUGAAAAAGGAAUGUGUCUUCACAAAAAAUUUCUCAUUUUCCUGUCAUCUUUGGCUAUCCACCUGAUCUUCUCCAUGAUGUUUUUGAGGGUGUAAUCCCAGUAGAGCUAGCUCAUUGCUUGACUGUGCUUAUAUCCAAAAAGUAUUUUACAUUAGUUGAUCUGAACAAUGCCAUUCUUAAGUUUCCCUACAAAUGGACUGACAAGACGAACAAACCCCAUGUAGUGUCCCGAAGUUUUUCCAGCACAAAAACAGUGGGAGGAAAUGCUCAUGAAAACUGGAGCCUGCUCAGGUUCUUGCCUUUUCUGGUUGGGCCACUUGUACCUGAAGAUGAGCCUGCGUGGCUUGUUCUCAUGGAUCUGAAGGACAUAACAGAGCUUGUUGUUGCCCCUGUACAUAGUGAUGACUCGCUGGCCUUUUUAGAAAGUAAAAUCAUAGAGCACAGACAGAGAUUCAAAGAGUUGUUCCCUGACAUCAAGCUGCUAACCAAAACACCAUUAUUUGGAACACUACCCCCAGAUGAUUAGGCUGUUUGGUCCAGUUGUUGGGCAGUGGACGAUGCGCUUUGAGGCUAAGCAUAGCUUCUUUAAGCAAGUUAUCAGACACACAGGGUGCUUCAAGAAUGUCCCCCUCUCACUGGCCUCAAAGAAUCAGAUGAUGUUUGCUUACCAUCUGAGCUCUCCAUGUCUGAGAAGUCUGACCUAGAGGUCUCAGCUGUACCGACUCUGCCAGUAGACUUACUCAAAGAAGAGAUAGCGCAAGUCAUCAAGCAACAGGUCUCUCACACAACAGAGGUUCACCUUGACAGUGUGUAAAAGUCAAGGGCAUAACCUAUAGGAAGGGAAUGAUACUGGUCCACAAGUCUGUAGGUGGAUUGCCUGAAUUUAGUGAAAUUGACCAAAUCUGUAUUUUACAAGAGAAUGUGUUCUACAUUGUCAAAGAGCUCUGUGGUUGGCACAGAGAGCACUAUAGAGCCUUUGAACUCAGCACAGCACCCACAAGAAGUUUCACUCUUGUGACAGUCAGUGAACUUCUUGAUACUUAUCCACUAGCUGACUACAGGAUUGGAGCUACUCGCAUGGUGACUUUGAAAAGGCAUAUUGAAAUACAAGGUGGGCUAGCACCUGGGAACGGUCUUGUCUACUUUGUUAAAAGGGAAAUUCAACCUGCACCAUAUUUGCAGAUGCUUUUCUAGAUAAGUAAUUGAAAAGUAGGCUUUAACCUCUGAAAUUUAAAUGUGAAACAAUGGAUAUCUGAUUUAUAAUCUUUUUGUAUUUUAUGUGUUUGAGCAGAGUAAACAGCAGUGAAGAUGGGUACACCUAUGAUCCUUAAAAUCAUCCUGACCGAUGGCAGCUCUCAGAGGUUGACACUUUCUCAUGGACUACCUGCAUCUAUUGAUGACCUCAUGGUUGAAGUAAAGAAACAGUGCGGACUUCAAGGCAAUUUUAAACUUCAGUUUAUGGAUUCCUUGUUUGGAAAUGAUUUCCUUAACCUUACUUCAAUUUCAGAAGUCCAAGAUAAAGGCACACUUAAAAUAAUUGAUAUGUCAA